GACGAACGCUGGCGGCGUGCUUAACACAUGCAAGUCGAACGAGUGGCGAACGGGUGAGUAACACGUGGGUGAGCUGCCCUGCACUUCGGGAUAAGCCUGGGAAACUGGGUCUAAUACCGGAUAGUGUGGGAUGGGACAGCGGGCGAUCAGCUUGUUGGUGGGGUAAGGGCUACCAAGGCGCGACGGGUAGCCGGCCUGAGAGGGUGGACGGCCACAUGGGGACUGAGACACGGCCCAGACUCCUACGGGAGGCAGCAGUGGGGAAUAUUGCACAAUGGGCGCAAGCCUGAUGCAGCCAUGCCGCGGGUAUGAAGAAGGCCUUCGGGUUGGAAAGUACUUUCAGCGAGGAGGCGUUACUCGCAGAAGAAGCAUCGGCUAACUCCGUGCCAGCCGCCGCGGUAAUAC
rnacentral:rRNA from 1 species